rnacentral:rRNA from 1 species
UACGUAGGUGGCAAGCGAUACUCGGAAUCACUAGGCGUAAAGCGCAGGUAGGCGGUUUGGUAAGUCUUUUGUGAAAGCUCCCGGCUCAACUGGGAGAGGUCAAGGGAAACUACCGGACUAGAGUGUGGUAGGGGAUACUGGAAUUCCUGGUGUAGCGGUGAAAUGCGUAGAUAUCAGGAGGAACACCGGUGGCGAAGGCGGUUCUCUGGGCAUGAUCUGACGCUGAGGAGCGAAAGUGUGGGGAGCGAACAGG